GGACUCGAUUCACUCUUAUCAGUUGUUCAGUUGCAACACUCGCAAUAGAUAAUGCAAGAAGUGCAGGCUUAUUGGCAGCAGAAAUGUUGGGAGUAAAUGGCAAUGUUGAUCUACUUGCAAGAGUGAGCCAAUAUCAGGAAGAUGCAGGGGAUGAUGUCUUGAAAAAAGCAGAGAAGUUACAGGAAGAUGUUACCCCACAUGUUGAGAUAAUUAUGGGCUCUGAUUCAGAUCUUCCUGUUAUGAAGGAUGCUGCUAAGAUCCUUAGCUUAUUUGAUGUACCUCAUAA